rnacentral:rRNA from 1 species
ACUGCUCAGUAACACGUGGGUAACCUGCCCUAUGCUGGAUAAUAACCUCGGGAAACUGAGAAUAAUGAUCCAUAGUUCACUACGCCUGGAACGGUGAGUGGAUGAAAGCUCCGGCGGCAUAGGAUGGGCCUGCGGCGUAUCAGGUUGUAGGGGGUGUAACGUACCCUCUAGCCCUCUACGCGUACGGGUGUUGGGAGACAUAGCCCGGAGAUGGAUUCUGAGACACGAAUCCAGACCCUACGGGGUGCAGCAGGCGCGAAAACUUGGCAAUGCGAGAAAUCGUGACCAGGGAACUCCAAGUGCAUCGGGUAAGACCGGUGCUUUUCUUGACUCUAAAUAGGUCUUGGAAUAAGGGGUGGGUAAGGACGGUGCCAGCCGCCGCGGUAAUACCGGCGCCUCAAGUGGUAGUCGCUUUUAUUGGGCCUAAGACGUCCGUAGCCGGUCUGAUACAUUCGUGGGUAAAUCAACCAGCUUAACUGGUUGAAUUCUGCGAGGACGGUCAGACUUGGGACCGGGAGAGGUGUAGGGUACGCUCAGGGUAGGGGUAAAAUCCUGUCAUCCUGAGCGGACCACCUGUUGCGAAGGCGCCACACUAGAACGGAUCCGACGGUCAGGGACGAAGCCUAGGGGCACGAACCGGAUUAGAUACCCGGGUAGUCCUAGGUGUAAACGCUGUGGACUUGAUGUUGGGGGUGCUCCGAGCACUCUCAGUGUCGAAGCGAAGGUGAUAAGUCCACUGCCUGGGAAGUACGGUCGCAAGGCUGAAACUUAAAGGAAUUGGCGGGGGAGCAC